rnacentral:rRNA from 1 species
UACGGAGGGUGCAAGCGUUAUCCGGAUUCACUGGGUUUAAAGGGUGCGUAGGUGGGUUUGUAAGUCAGUGGUGAAAUCUCCAAGCUUAACUUGGAAACUGCCGUUGAUACUAUAAAUCUUGAAUGUUGUGGAGGUGAGCGGAAUAUGUCAUGUAGCGGUGAAAUGCUUAGAUAUGACAUAGAACACCAAUUGCGAAGGCAGCUCGCUACACAAAGAUUGACACUGAGGCACGAAAGCGUGGGGAUCAAACAGG